GAUGAACGCUGGCGGCGUGCUUAACACAUGCAAGUCGAGCGAAGCACUUGCCAUUGACUCUUCGGAAGAUUUGGCAUUUGACUGAGCGGCGACGGGUGAGUAACGCGUGGGUAACCUGCCUCAUACAGGGGAAUAACAGUUAGAAAUGGCUGCUAAUGCCGCAUAAGCGCACAGGACCGCAUGGUCUGGUGUGAAAAACUGAGGUGGUAUGAGAUGGGCCCGCGUCUGAUUAGGUAGUUGGCGGGGUAACGGCCCACCAAGCCGACGAUCAGUAGCCGACCUGAGAGGGUGACCGGCCACAUUGGGACUGAGACACGGCCCAG
rnacentral:rRNA from 1 species